rnacentral:lncRNA from 1 species
ACAUAGUUUUUUUUGGUUUGGUUUUUUUUUUAGUUUGUUCACCUGAAGGGUUGAGACAAGUAGGUGUCGUCAACCUGUAGGGCUGUAACAAUGAUUUUGGUUUGGUUUUGGAAGUUAUAGUCGGAAGCCUAUAACUUUGGUUUCGCCCGGUCUAGCUGAGUUUUUUUCUUGGAAUGCUGAACAUCGGUCCUGGCGGUUGGUUUUUUGGCUUUCUCAGCACAACAAGCUUUAUUGCAAGUUGCACUGAGAAGGCCAACGGUUGGUUUACUGUUUUGGAAAUUAGCGGAGGUUUUUUUCUAUAUGCAGCGCAGUUGGCCGCAUAGUUUUUUUCACCCUCCGAGGGUUGACGCGGGUUCGAGAUUUUUUUUUAAUAUUUUUUUUUGUGGUCAAACAGUAGUUUGCUUGUUUUUAAAUACCUUUUGGUAUAAUUUUGUAGAUAUUGGGGGAUUUUUUUUUGAGAUUUUACAGUCUCGAACUUGCGUCAGGUUUUUUUGAUUCUGAUAUUUUUUUGGUAGGUUUAGUUUUCUUGCCUUCAGAUUUUGUUUUUUUUUAUGAAAGUCGCUGAGGACAGCGAGCGGUUCACCUACGUUGAACCUUAAAUCGGGAAGGGGGGUAUUGUAACGUAGCAGAUUUUUUGAUAGUCGUAAUUAAAUAUUUUGGAUAGAUUUAAUUUUUGAAUGAAACACUUCCUUCUCGUUCAUUGCAUUAUCUGUUGCACUUCAAAUGCACAUAUUUAUGUUUAUCUGUUGUAGGGUUGCCAUACAACAAGUAUUAUUCGAAAUUGUAGGUAUUUUGGCUGUCAUUCCAGGAAAACUUUGUAUAGUUUUGAUAUACUUUAAGUAUUGAUUUUUGGAAAAUAUAAUAUUUUAGAGACAUGAUAACAAAUGUUAUCAUAGGUUUUUUAAGGCUGUUCUGGAAUGAUAUUUGUUAGGUUUUGUUUACUUCAAGGUCUGAUACAGAAACUGGAGUAAUUUUCAUUUAAUGAAUUAGAGUAUUUUAUUGUUUAUUCGUUUGCCACCCGGCUUUUGUUUUGGGUCCUUUAAAUUCGAGAUCAUUCAGUGCGCCGUUCUUUCUGUGACGAGAUCCUCUUGUAUAGUGAUCGGACGGCCGUAUAAGGGCCUGGAGCCCGGCAUGCCACGUGCUGCCGUGGCGUUCCAUAUUUUGUGUGGUGCGUUCUGUCAGUCUGACUGGCAGAAACAUGCUAAGGGUGGGAGUGCUCCUUGGAGAUCCUCGGUCUGCAGUCUGCAGGUCUCCGGUGAGCUCGCUUACAUUUUUUUGUUUAGUCUAUCACAGUGUGUGAGGGCACUCGACUAAUGUGACCAAUUUAUUUGUUUCAUAGGAGUCGGGAAGAA